AUUUACAAAAUGUUCAUGGCAGGGCCCACUUCACAGGGCUGUGAGGAUUACAGAGGAUAAUCUGGGUGAGGCGCAUCAGCCCCAGCGCCGCCUGCCACAAUUCUAUCCGGCCCCACAUAUGCAUCGUCCAUAAGCGUCCGGCCCCUGCAUUCUCGCUUUUCCACGUGGCCGAGGUGCACACCCCAACCCACUGGGCCAGUCUCCCCGCCCUCUUACCUGCUCUUCUUUCCCGACUCGUCUUUAAUACCCACCAGGAGCCAGUCGCCGCGGGCCUGGCUCUGUGGUGGCAAGUUGCAUGGGUUCUCCCAUCAGGACCUCCCGAUGAGCCUACGAGGUCGGUUCUAUUACUGUCGCCACUUCAGAGGGAGGAAACAGGCCCGCAGGGUUGGGGAACUUCCCGAGGUCACUGAACUGGUGUCAGGCCCAGAUUGGAAUCCAAACACAUCCCAGCCCAUGCCCGGCUCCCCAGCGCCGGCUCCCAGGCGUCUUCCCGGGUGCCAGCGGCACCCGCAUCCAUUCAAAUGCUGCCCAGUCCCCGCUCCUCAGUCGCUUCCCUCUACUACGCGCCCGCAUCUCCCCCCGACCCCUCAGGGUCAGGCCUCUCGGUGGCUUUUCCUUUUUCUCUUCCAGAAACUAAGGGGUGAGACCGACGUUUGUGUGCCGGACGCGUGCAGGUGGCGGCGACGCUCCCGGGAGACGCGGGGGGAGAACCAGUCUGUGCGCGCGGCUGUGAGAAGCCCCGACCAAGCUUUCCACGCGCUUGUUUCGGGCAGCAGAGGACGCGAGGGCCGACUGCGUCCCCAGUGCGCAGGCUCGGCCGGGGGCGCGUAAUCAGGCAGCCCAGCGGUCCCUUCAAACCGAGGCAGGGAAGCUCUACGUCUUGGGGGCCGCAUGGUGCCGAGAGCGCAGACCAGACCCGCCCCGCCUCUCCGUGCCACGCACGCGCUCGGCUCCGCGCUUAAUGGCUGGAGUGCAGUGGCGCGAUCUCGGCUCAUCGCAACCUCCAUCUCCCGGGUUCAAGCAAUUCUCUGCCUCAGCCUCCCGAGUGGCUGGGAUUACAGAAGCAGUAUCUGACUGUGUUGCCCAGGCUGGUCUUGAACUCCUGGUCUCAAAUGAUUCUCCUGCUUUGGCCUCCUAAAGUGCUGGGAUUACAGACAUAUUUAUUCAAUUUUUAAUGUCAGACCAUAAGCAACGCGAAUGAAAUUUGGUGCCAUCACUCGGAUCAGGGGACCUCCCUUGGGAGAUCAAUCCCCUGUCCUCCUGCUCUUUGCUCCAUGAGAAAGAUCCACCUACGAUCUCUGCUCCUCAGACCAACCAGCCCAAGGAACAUCUCACCAAUUUUAAAUCGGAUCUUCUCAGCUUAGCGGCUGAAGACUGAUGCUGCCAGAUGACUUUGGAAGCCCCCUGGACCAUCACAGAUGCCCAGCUUUGGAUAACUCUUACAGUGGAGGAAGACAGGAAUAUCAGGUCUCUGAGCCCAAGCUAAGCCAUCAUAUCCCCUGUGACCUGCAUGUAUGCAUCCAGAUGGCCUGAAGUAACUGAAGAAUCACAAAAGAAGUGAAAAUGGCGCGUGCCUGCCUUAACUGAUGACAUUACCUUGUGAAAUUCCUUCUCCUGGCUCAUCCUGGCUCAAAAGCUCCCCCACUGAGCACCUUGUGACCCCCACUCCUGCCUAACAGAGAACAAUCCCCUUUGACUGUAAUUUCCCACUACCUACCCAAAUCCUAUAAAACGGCCCCACCCCUAUCUCCAUUCACUGACUCUUUUUGGACUCAGCCCACCUGCACCCAGGUGAAAUAAACAGCCUUGUUGCUCACACAGAAC
rnacentral:lncRNA from 1 species